CACAUGCAAGUCAACGGUAGCACAGAGAGCUUGCUCUCGGGUGACGAGUGGCGGACGGGUGAGUAAUGUCUGGGAAACUGCCUGAUGGAGGGGGAUAACUACUGGAAACGGUAGCUAAUACCGCAUAACGUCGCAAGACCAAAGAGGGGGACCUUCGGGCCUCUUGCCAUCAGAUGUGCCCAGAUGGGAUUUAGCUAUGUAGGUGGGGGUAACGGCUCACCUAUGGCGGACGAUCCCCUAGCUGGUCUUGAGAAGGGAUGACCACGCCACAACUGGAAACUGAGACACGGGUCCCAGACUCCUUACGGGAGGCAGCCAGGUGGGGAAUAUUGCACCAAUGGGCGCCAACCCUGAUGCAAGCCAUGCCCGCGUGUAUGAAGAAAGGCCUUCGGGGUUGUAAAGUACUUUCAGCCGGGGAGGAAGGUGUUGUGGUUAAUAACCGGCAGCAAUUGACGUUACCCGCAGAAGAAGCACCGGCUAACUCCGUGCCAGCAGCCGGCGGUAAUACGGAGGGUGCAAGCGUUAAUCGGAAUUACUGGGCGUAAAGCGCACGCAGGCGGUCUGUCAAGUCGGAUGUGAAAUCCCCGGGCUCAACCUGGGAACUGCAUUCGAAACUGGCAGGCUGGAGUCUUGUAGAGGGGGGUAGAAUUCCAGGUGUAGCGGUGAAAUGCGUAGAGAUCUGGAGGAAUACCGGUGGCGAAGGCGGCCCCCUGGACAAAGACUGACGCUCAGGUGCGAAAGCGUGGGGAGCAAACAGGAUUAGAUACCCUGGUAGUCCACGCCGUAAACGAUGUCGAUUUGGAGGUUGUGCCCUUGAGGCGUGGCUUCCGGAGCUAACGCGUUAAAUCGACCGCCUGGGGGAGUACGGCCGCAAGGGUUAAAACUCAAAUGAAUUUGACGGGGGCCCGGCACAAGCGGUGGAAGCAUGUGGGUUUAAAUUCGAUGCAACGCCGAAGAACCUUUACCUGGUCUUUGACAUCCACAGAAACUUUCCAAAAGAUGCAUUGGUUGCCUUCGGGGAACUGGUGAAAACAGGUGCCUGCAUGGCUUGUCGUCAGCUCCGUGUUGUGAAAAGGUUGGGGUUAAAUUCCCGCAACGAAGCGCAACCCUUUAUCCUUUUGUUGCCAGCCGGUCCAGGCGCGGGAACUCCAAAAGGAAAACUCGCCAGUUGAUAAAACUGGGAAGAAAGGUGGGGGAUGACGUUCAAAGUCACUCAUGGGCCCUUUACAAACCAAGGGGCUACACCAACCGUGGCUAACCAAUGGGCCCAUAACAAAAAGAGAAACCCGACCUUCCCCGAGAAGCACAGCGGACCUCAUAAAGUGCGUCGUAGUCCGGAUUGGAGUCUGCAACUCGACUCCAUGAAGUCGGAAUCGCUAGUAAUCGUAGAUCAGAAUGCUACGGUGAAUACGUUCCCGGGCCUUGUACACACCGCCCGUCACACCAUGGGAGUGGGUUGCAAAAGAAGUAGGUAGCUUAACCUUCGGGA
rnacentral:rRNA from 1 species